rnacentral:snoRNA from 1 species
UCUUGUGUGGAGUUAGCGUGAAAUAACAUGCUAGAUGAAAAAUACAAUGACUGUGUUUGGGAGUUAACAGGGCCACCAGUCUUUCAAGGUCAGGCUGAGUUGGUAGUAUAAUACUCCAACAUUA